ACCAAGGCGCUUGAGAGAACUCGGGUGAAGGAACUAGGCAAAAUGGUGCCGUAACUUCGGGAGAAGGCACGCUGGUGUGUAGGUGAAGUCCCUGCGGAUGGAGCUGAGACCAGUCGAAGAUACCAGCUGGCUGCAACUGUUUAUUAAAAACACAGCACUGUGCAAACACGAAAGUGGACGUAUACGGUGUGACGCCUGCCCGGUGCCGGAAGGUUAAUUGAUGGGGUUAUCCGUAAGGAGAAGCUCUUGAUCGAAGCCCCGGUAAACGGCGGCCGUAACUAUAACGGUCCUAAGGUAGCGAAAUUCCUUGUCGGGUAAGUUCCGACCUGCACGAAUGGCGUAAUGAUGGCCAGGCUGUCUCCACCCGAGACUCAGUGAAAUUGAACUCGCUGUGAAGAUGCAGUGUACCCGCGGCAAGACGGAAAGACCCCGUGAACCUUUACUAUAGCUUGACACUGAACAUUGAGCCUUGAUGUGUAGGAUAGGUGGGAGGCUUUGAAGCGUGGACGCCAGUCUGCGUGGAGCCAACCUUGAAAUACCACCCUUUAAUGUUUGAUGUUCUAACGUUGGCCCCUGACCGGGGUUGCGGACAGUGUCUGGUGGGUAGUUUGACUGGGGCGGUCUCCUCCCAAAGCGUAACGGAGGAGCACGAAGGUUAGCUAAUCCUGGUCGGACAUCAGGAGGUUAGUGCAAUGGCAUAAGCUAGCUUGACUGCGAGCGUGACGGCGCGAGCAGGUGCGAAAGCAGGUCAUAGUGAUCCGGUGGUUCUGAAUGGAAGGGCCAUCGCUCAACGGAUAAAAGGUACUCCGGGGAUAACAGGCUGAUACCGCCCAAGAGUUCAUAUCGACGGCGGUGUUUGGCACCUCGAUGUCGGCUCAUCACAUCCUGGGGCUGAAGUAGGUCCCAAGGGUAUGGCUGUUCGCCAUUUAAAGUGGUACGCGAGCUGGGUUUAGAACGUCGUGAGACAGUUCGGUCCCUAUCUGCCGUGGGCGCUGGAGAAUUGAGGGGGGCUGCUCCUAGUACGAGAGGACCGGAGUGGACGCAUCACUGGUGUUCGGGUUGUCAUGCCAAUGGCACUGCCCGGUAGCUAAAUGCGGAAGAGAUAAGUGCUGAAAGCAUCUAAGCACGAAACUUGCCCCGAGAUGAGUUCUCCCUGAGACUUUAAGUCUCCUGAAGGAACGUUAAAGACGAUGACGUUGAUAGGCCGGGUGUGUAAGCGCAGCGAUGCGUUGAGCUAACCGGUACUAAUGAACCGUGAGGCUUAACCUU
rnacentral:rRNA from 1 species